rnacentral:rRNA from 1 species
AACAAACGCUGGCGGCGUGCCUAACACAUGCAAGUCGUACGAGAAAGGGUCCUUCGGGGCCUGAGUAAAGUGGCGCACGGGUGAGUAACGCGUGGAUAAUCUGUCCUUCAGUUGGGAAUAACUCAUCGAAAGGUGGGCUAAUACCGAAUAAUGCUGUGAGACCUCGGUUGAUCAGCCAAAGAGAGCCUCUGCUUGCAAGCCCUCGCUGAAGGAUGAGUCCGCGUACCAUUAGCUAGUUGGUAGGGUAAUGGCCUACCAAGGCGACGAUGGUUAGCUGGUCUGAGAGGAUGAUCAGCCACAAUGGAACUGAGACACGGUCCAGACUCCUACGGGAGGCAGCAGUGAGGAAUCUUGCGCAAUGGGGGCAACCCUGACGCAGCAACGCCGCGUGAGUGAGGAAGGUCUUCGGAUCGUAAAGCUCUGUCGGAUGGAAAGAACCGCAUAGGGGUAAACAGCCCCUGUGUCUGACGGUACCAUCAAAGGAAGCACCGGCUAACUCCGUGCCAGCCGCCGCAGUAACAC